CCCUUAGAUGUUCUGGGCCGCACGCGCGCUACACUGUUCGACGCAGCGAGUCUUAACCUUGACCGAAAGGUUUGGGUAAUCUUCAGCAAAGUCGAACGUGAUGGGGAUCGAUCAUUGCAAUUAUUGAUCGUGAACGAGGAAUUCCUAGUAAGUGCAAGUCAUCAGCUUGCGCUGAUUACGUCCCUGCCCUUUGUACACACCGCCCGUCGCUACUACUGAUUGGAUGUUUAAGCGAGGUUCUCGAACUGCUAGUGACUGAUCUUCGGUGAGGUCGCAGUGUGGGAAGUGAACCUAGCUUUGGUGUCUAGAGGAAGUAAAAGUCGUAACA
rnacentral:rRNA from 1 species